GAGGCUUAGCUCAGCUGGGAGAGCAUCUGCCUUACAAGCAGAGGGUCGGGGGUUCGAGCCCCCUCAGCCCUCCA
rnacentral:tRNA from 1 species